CACGUAGGGCGCAAGCGUUGUCCGGAAUUAUUGGGCGUAAAGAGCUCGUAGGCGGUCUGUUGCGUCCGCUGUGAAAACUCGGGGCUUAACCCCGAGCCUGCAGUGGAUACGGGCAGACUAGAGGUAGGUAGGGGAGAAUGGAAUUCCCGGUGUAGCGGUGAAAUGCGCAGAUAUCGGGAGGAACACCUAUGGCGAAAGCAGGCAUCUGGGCCAUCACUGACGCUGAGCUGCGAAAGCUAGGGGAGCAAACAGG
rnacentral:rRNA from 1 species